UAGCAUAUCAAUAAGCGGAGGAAAAGAAACUAACAAGGAUUCCCCUAGUAACUGCGAGUGAAGCGGGAAAAGCUCAAAUUUAAAAUCUGGCGGUCUUUGGCCCGUCCGAGUUGUAGUCUGGAGAAGUGCUUUCCGCGCUGGACCGUGUAUAAGUCUCUUGGAACAGAGCGUCAUAGAGGGUGAGAAUCCCGUCUUUGACACGGACUACCAGUGCUUUGUGAUGCGCUCUCAAAGAGUCGAGUUGUUUGGGAAUGCAGCUCAAAAUGGGUGGUAAAUUCCAUCUAAAGCUAAAUAUUGGCGAGAGACCGAUAGCGAACAAGUACCGUGAGGGAAAGAUGAAAAGCACUUUGGAAAGAGAGUUAAACAGUACGUGAAAUUGCUGAAAGGGAAACGCUUGAAGUCAGUCGCGUCUGCCGGAACUCAGCCUUGCUUUUGCUUGGUGCACUUUCCGGUUGACGGGCCAGCAUCGAUUUUGACCGUCGGAAAAGGGCUAGGGAAAUGUGGCACCUUCGGGUGUGUUAUAGUCUCUAGUCGCAUACGGCGGUUGGGAUCGAGGACCGCAGCGCGCCGCAAGGCAGGGGUUCGCCCACUUUCGCGCUUAGGAUGCUGGCAUAAUGGCUUUAAACGACCCGUCUUGAAACACGGACCAAGGAGUCUAACAAACCUGCGAGUGUUUGGGUGGUAAACCCGAGCGCGUAAUGAAAGUGAAAGUUGAGACCUCUGUCGUGGAGGGCAUCGACGCCCGGACCUGACGUUCUCUGAAGGAUCCGCGGUAGAGCAUGUUUGUUGGGACCCGAAAGAUGGUGAACUAUGCCUGAAUAGGGUGAAGCCAGAGGAAACUCUGGUGGAGGCUCGUAGCGAUUCUGACGUGCAAAUCGAUCGUCAAAUUUGGGGUAUAGGGGCGAAAGACUAAUCGAACCAUCUAGUAGCUGGUCCUGCGAGUUU
rnacentral:rRNA from 1 species